AUUGAACGCUGGCGGUAUGCUUAACACAUGCAAGUCGAACGGUAGCAGGCCUUCGGGCGCUGACGAGUGGCGGACGGGUGAGUAACGCGUAGGAAUCUGCCUCAUAGUGGGGGACAACGUGGGGAAACUCACGCUAAUACCGCAUACGCCCUACGGGGGAAAGCGGGGGAUCUUCGGACCUCGCGCUAUGAGAUGAGCCUGCGUUAGAUUAGCUAGUUGGUAGGGUAAAGGCCUACCAAGGCGACGAUCUAUAGCUGGUCUGAGAGGACGAUCAGCCACACUGGGACUGGGAAACGGCCCAGAAUCAUACGGGAGGCAGUAGUGGGGAAUAUUGGACAAUGGGCGCAAGCCUGAUCCAGCAAUACCGCGUGUGUGAAGAAGGCCCUAGGGUUGUAAAGCACUUUCAAUAGGGAGGAAAACCUGUCGGUCAAUACCCGGCAGCUUGACAUUACCUAUACAAGAAGCACCGGCUAACUCCGUGCCAGCCGCCGCCGUAAAAC
rnacentral:rRNA from 1 species